ACACACAUAUCUAUAGAUAUGUGUGUGUGUGUGUUUGUAUUAUACACACACACACAUAUCUAUAGAUAUGUGUGUG
rnacentral:pre_miRNA from 14 species